rnacentral:rRNA from 1 species
GUCGAACGGUGAUGUCAGAGCUUGCUCUGGCGGAUCAGUGGCGAACGGGUGAGUAACACGUGAGUAACCUGCCCCUGACUCUGGGAUAACUGCUAGAAAUGGUAGCUAAUACCGGAUAUGACGAUUGGCCGCAUGGUCUGGUCGUGGAAAGAAUUUCGGUUGGGGAUGGACUCGCGGCCUAUCAGGUUGUUGGUGAGGUAAUGGCUCACCAAGCCUACGACGGGUAGCCGGCCUGAGAGGGUGACCGGCCACACUGGGACUGAGACACGGCCCAGACUCCUACGGGAGGCAGCAGUGGGGAAUAUUGCACAAUGGGCGAAAGCCUGAUGCAGCAACGCCGCGUGAGGGAUGACGGCCUUCGGGUUGUAAACCUCUUUUAGUAGGGAAGAAGCGAAAGUGACGGUACCUGCAGAAAAAGCACCGGCUAACUACGUGCCAGCAGCCGCGGUAAUACGUAGGGUGCAAGCGUUGUCCGGAAUUAUUGGGCGUAAAGAGCUCGUAGGCGGUUUGUCGCGUCUGCUGUGAAAUCCCGAGGCUCAACCUCGGGUCUGCAGUGGGUACGGGCAGACUAGAGUGCGGUAGGGGAGAUUGGAAUUCCUGGUGUAGCGGUGGAAUGCGCAGAUAUCA